rnacentral:rRNA from 1 species
UGGGUCUAAUACCGGAUAGGACUCCUGGCUUCAUGGUUGGGGGUGUAAAGCUUUUGCGGUGUGGGAUGGGCCCGCGGCCUAUCAGCUUGUUGGUGGGGUAAUGGCCUACCAAGGCGACGACGGGUAGCCGGCCUGAGAGGGUGACCGGCCACACUGGGACUGAGAUACGGCCCAGACUCCUACGGGAGGCAGCAGUGGGGAAUAUUGCACAAUGGGCGCAAGCCUGAUGCAGCGACGCCGCGUGAGGGAUGACGGCCUUCGGGUUGUAAACCUCUUUCAAUAGGGACGAAGCGCAAGUGACGGUACCUAUAGAAGAAGGACCGGCCAACUACGUG